UACGAAGGGUGCAAGCGUUACUCGGAAUUACUGGGCGUAAAGCGUGUGUAGGUGGUUUUUUAAGUCUGAUGUGAAAGCCCUGGGCUCAACCUGGGAACUGCAUUGGAAACUGGCUUACUAGAGUGCGGUAGAGGGGUGUGGAAUUCCCGGUGUAGCAGUGAAAUGCGUAGAUAUCGGGAGGAACAUCUGUGGCGAAGGCGACACCCUGGACCAGCACUGACACUGAGGCACGAAAGCGUGGGGAGCAAACAGG
rnacentral:rRNA from 1 species